rnacentral:rRNA from 1 species
AUGCAUGCAGUUGAGCGAAGCUUUUCAGUAGUUUACUACAGAAAAUGACUGAGCGGCGAACGGGUGAGUAACGCGUGAGCAAUCUACCUUAGUUACUGGGAUAGCCCGAGGAAACUCGGAUUAAUACCGGAUAUUCUUAUUUUUUCACAUGAAGUUUUAAGGAAAGGUCAGCCGAACUAAGAUGAGCUCGCGUUCUAUCAGCUAGUUGGUGGGGUAAAAGCCUACCAAGGCUACGACGGAUAGCUGGUCUGAGAGGACGAUCAGCCACACUGGGACUGAGACACGGCCCAGACUCCUACGGGAGGCUGCAGCAGGGAAUAUUGCGCAAUGAGCGAAAGCUUGACGCAGCGACACCGCGUGUGGGAUGACGGUUCUAGGAUUGUAAACCACUUUCAGGAGGGAAGAAAAUGACGGUACCUCCACAAGAAGACCCGGCCAACUACGCGCCAGCAGCCGCGGUAAUACGUAGGGGUCAAGCGUUGUCCGGAUUUAUUGGGCGUAAAGAGCUCGUAGGCGGUUCAACAAGUCGGUCGUAAAAGUUUAGGGCUCAACCCUAAAAUGUCGAUCGAUACUGUUGUGACUAGGAUACGGUAGAGGUGAAUGGAAUUCCGAGUGUAGCGGUGAGAUGCGUAGAUAUUCGGAGGAACACCAAUUGCGAAGGCAGUUCACUGGACCGUGAUCGACGCUGAGGAGCGAAAGCUAGGGGAGCAAACAGGAUUAGAUACCCUGGUAGUCCUAGCUGUAAACGAUGGAUACUAGAUGUAGGAACUGGAUUGACGGUUUCUGUAUCGUAGCUAACGCGUUAAGUAUCCCGCCUGGGGAGUACGGUCGCAAGACUAAAACUCAAAGGAAUUGACGGGACCCCGCACAAGCGGCGGAGCAUGCGGCUUAAUUCGAUGAUACCCGUAGAACCUUACCUGGACUUGACAUAUAGGG